GAUCCACGCUCAGCUGGAACAAUGAGAUUGAGUCCACUCUAGUACUCUACCCCAACGCAGCCAUGUUGCGAUCAAUCUAUAAAGAGGCUCUCUUUUUCUCGUAGGUUUUAAUAAAAAGUGUCUCCGGAGCACAUUUCAGAUAGAUGGCCAUGUCCAUCUCAACCUCUUACCCACAAGCAUGGUGCGCUCUCUCCUGUUGUGGGUGGAGCUCCCACCAUCCAACGACUUCUCUUAACCUCUCUGGCUCUGCUAUGUUCAAACCCAAAGCAACUGAUUCGCUGAUCCAUUGCCAGAGUAUUUUGGCUCAAGUCAGCGUUGGUGAGGAUUUACCUGAUGAUUACGGGAAUUGGCUGCCCCAGCCAGGCCCAGACGAUCGGAGAAGAGCCGGAAUUCUACUCCAUCCGACGUCGUUUGGAGGCCCCUACGGAAUUGGCGAUCUCGGAGACGAGACCUUUCGUUUCAUUGACUGGCUUCACGGUGCUGGUUGCUCCGUCUGGCAGGUCCUACCUCUUGUUCCUCCCGGGAGAAAGACCAAUGAAGAUGGAUGCCCUUACGCAGGCCAGGAUGCAAAUUGUGGCAAUACCCUCUUGAUCUCUCUAGAGGAGCUUGUUAAGGACGGAUUGUUGUACAAGGAUGAGCUUCCAAAACCAAUUGACGCUGAACGCGUGAAUUUCUCACUUGUUGCUGAUGUUAAGGAUCCUUUGAUUGCUAAAGCUGCAACGAGGCUCAUUUCAAGUGAAGGGGAACUUAAAAGGCAACUUGAGAAUUUUUGUAGGGACCCUAACAUAUCAAGCUGGCUUGAAGAUGCAGCUUAUUUUGCUGCUAUUGAUGACAGUCUAAGCACAUUGAGCUGGUAUGAUUGGCCUGAACCUUUAAGAAACCGCCAUCUUGUAGCUCUAGAAGAUAUCUACCAACUCAAGAAAGAUUUUAUUGAAAUAUUUAUUGCCCAACAAUUCUUGUUUCAGAGGCAAUGGCAGAAAGUUUGUAACUAUGCCCGGAGUAGGGGAAUUAAGAUAAUGGGAGACAUGCCCAUAUAUGUGGGUUAUCACAGUGCUGAUGUUUGGGCAAAUAAGAACCAAUUUCUGCUGAACAGGAGAGGUUUUCCUAUUUUAGUUAGUGGUGUUCCUCCUGAUGCAUUCAGUGAAACUGGUCAGCUGUGGGGCAGCCCUUUGUAUGAUUGGAAUGCCAUGGAAAAAGAUGGGUACUCAUGGUGGAUACGCCGAAUACGAUGUGCUCAAAGUGUUUAUGAUGAAUUCAGAAUUGAUCACUUUAGAGGAUUUUCUGGAUUUUGGGCAGUUCCCUCUGAAGCUAAAGUAGCAAUGGUUGGAAAAUGGAAGGUAGGACCUGGAAAAUCCUUCUUUGAUGCUGUUUCCAGAGCAGUUGGAAAGAUUAAUAUAGUAGCAGAAGACUUGGGAGUUAUUACUGAGGAUGUAGUUCAGCUAAGAAAAUAUAUUGGAGCACCUGGAAUGGCCGUUCUCCAAUUUGCAUUUGGUGGUGAUGCUGAUAACCCUCAUUUGCUCCAUAAUCAUGAGUGCAAUCAAGUUGUGUAUACAGGGACUCACGACAAUGACACUAUCAGAGGUUGGUGGGAAGCUUUGAAGCAAGAAGAAAAGUCCAAUGUCAGUGGUAUGGAGUUAUCUUUCAUUAACAGAGGAGGAUGACAUCUCAUGGGCGCUAAUUCAGAAGGUACUAUCUUCCGUUGCUCGGACAGCUAUAAUACCUAUGCAGGAUAUUCUCAGACUUGGAAGCUCUGCAAGGAUGAAUAUUCCCGCAACUCAGUUGGGAAACUGGGGUUGGAGAAUUCCAAGAUCUGUGAGCUUUGAUAGGUUGGAGAGAGAAGCGGCUAAGCUUAAAGAUAUGCUGUCAAUGUAUGGGCGACUUUGAAUAAGGAAUCCUCAGCUAUUUGGUAGUCAAGAGCAUGUUUGAUUUUAGUGGUUUCUACAUGAAAACCCCACACACACUAAAAGUACGACCAACUAAAAUUGCACAAGAUCAUGGCUGAUUUUGGUCAAUCAAAGGCGAGUCCUCAUUAAUAACAAA